rnacentral:lncRNA from 1 species
CAGAAGCAGCAGUACACUACCAGCUCUUGAUCUAGAAGUCCAGAUAAGACUACAACUACAGUUUUCUACAUGCUGCUCACUCCCUGCAUUACUACCUGUAGGUAGCACGGUUUUUAACAACAUAAAGAAUACAGUUAAGAAUCAAAGCCAGUGGGUAUUUAUUCAUUGUUUUCCAACAGAAGCACAAGUUCAAUGCCUGCACCCCCUUAUACUGUGAGUUGUCAUAGUCAAUGCGAGAGCUCUAGAAACAUUCUUUCUUAAUCAAGAUUUAUUUGGCUUUUGUUUGGUGAUCACAGACACUACAAUUUUACAACUGUUCUUAUUCACAUAGUUUCUUUUUAAUAUAAAAACUAUAGUUUUAUUUUUUUCUAAGCCUAUUUCAAAUAUCUUUUAUUUGAACUUUGUAGACAAGCUCUCCUUUAAAACUAAAUGUGAAGUACCAGCUGACAUUCAGUCUAUCAGUCAGAAACUUUUACCUAUUCAGUACUUAAAGAUAAAAGUUUCCAGUCUUUGACGUGGCAGUUACAAAGUUGUUGGAAAAUAAACCUACACCUACCAAAAAUAACUUUGUCACAGAUAUACAUUACUCGUCAAGAAAUCCAACACUAGGGAGCAGUUCACGAGAUAAGCAAUUCUACUGAUGGUACAACCACAGAUAAAUAACUAAAAUGUUAAGAUGUUCUCAACAUAUUACAAAUUCCGACGUCUGUGUUGCGCUUCAUUUAAUAAGAUAGAAAAACUCUUCCUCCCAAUCUGUGGAACGAGAAGCCACGUUAAGACUUCAAAAAGCCUCUCCGUUUUGUAACAUCCCAUUAAUUUCCGGUUUCGUAGAAAACAGACAACCAGUACAUGAUUUUACCACUUAAAAAAAUCAUUUACACUUAUCAAAAUAUGUAAAAAAAAAAUGGAUCGAGUUGGGAUUCUCUCCUUUUAAAAACGUGCUUUUUAGAACUACUAAAAAACUUGCAUUUACAAAAUAGUUGAUAAAAAUAUUCCUCUGAAUUAUACAAGAAGAAAAGUAUAAGGAUCACCAAUUAAACACUUGGUACCAGAUGUUAUUCAGACUUCACCUCUUCUUUCUCUACCGCUGCAUCAGAUGCUGGGGUCUCCUCACUUUUAGUUUCUCCAUUUUCUGCAGGCAAGUUGUCCUUUAUCUGCUCUUGGUUUGUCUCUUCAGUCUGUUUUCCUUUAGGCCCCUUUUUCCCCUUUGAUUGAGCUUUCUUGUUCUCAGAUUUAUCCUUAGCCGCCAACGCCUUAGCUUUAGGCUCCGCUUUGUCAGGCACAGGUUUGGCGGACAGCCGCGCCGAUCUCCUCUUCGGUACCUCCUCAGCGGCCUCCGCGCCGCUGGCGGCCACCUUUCUCUUCGGCAUGGCGAAGCGCACGGUGGCUCCCGCCCGGCUGCUGCUGCGCUCUGAGUGCCUCACCGCCAGGCGCUGCGCAGGGAAACCGCCCCCCCCAUCCCAGCAGCGCCAGCGGCGCCGCAACAGGAUCCAGCCGGAUUGGCGGGGGAGAGGCGGGGCAGGGGGCGACGCGCUCCACGCUCGGCGGCAGCCGCCAGCGCCGCCUCCCGCGGGGCAGCAGCGGGGGGGGGGGGGGUGGACUGCGCCGGGCCUCCCCUCACGGCGGGGCGGGG